UACGUAGGGUGCAAGCGUUGUCCGGAAUUAUUGGGCGUAAAGAGCGUGUAGGCGGUCAGAUCAGUCCGCUGUAAAAGUCCAGGGCUCAACCCUGGAAAGCCGGUGGAUACUGUCUGACUAGAGUCCGGAAGAGGCGAGUGGAAUUCCUGGUGUAGCGGUGAAAUGCGCAGAUAUCAGGAGGAACACCAACGGCGAAGGCAGCUCGCUGGGACGGUACUGACGCUGAGACGCGAAAGCGUGGGGAGCAAACAGG
rnacentral:rRNA from 1 species